rnacentral:tRNA from 1 species
GGGCCAAUCGUAUAGUGGCUUAUUAUGCUGUCUUAGGGCACACUCGUAUUCGCAAGCACUAAGUUGACAGAGGUCCCCGGUUCGAUUCCGGGUUGGCCCC